AUACGUAGGUGACAAGCGUUAUCCGGAUUUACUGGGCGUAAAGGGCGUGUAGGCGGCCUUGCAAGUCAGAAGUGAAAUUCCUGAGCUCAACUCGGGCGCUGCUUCUGAAACUGCAGGACUUGAGUGCUGGAGGGGAUAGCGGAAUUCCUAGUGGAGCGGUAAAAUGCGCAGAUAUUAGGAAGAACACCGGUGGCGAAGGCGGCUAUCUGGAAAGUAACUAACGCGGAAUGGCGAAAGCGUGGGGAGCAAACAGGGUUAAAUACCCUGGUAGGCCACGCCAUAAACGAUGAAUACUAGGUGUAGGGGGUAUCGACUCCCUCUGUGCCGCAGUUAACACAAUAAGUAUGCCGCCGGGGGAGUACGGCCGCUAGGUUUAAACUCAAAGGAAUUGACGGGG
rnacentral:rRNA from 1 species